ACGACUCUGCCCCUCCUCGCGCCCCAGCUGCUUGAAGUAUUUGGAGCGGAGCGCGCGCUGUAUGCGCCGUACACCCACAUGAAACAGUAACUUCGUCACUUUGUUGUGGACCCGCUGCCCCGGUUUGAAUCACGGACUGUCUGUAAAGGACAAGGAACUGCGUGAAGCAAGAGGAACCUCGCUCCCCGUGACCGACAGAGCACACCACAGGCAGCAGUUUGAAAUGGCGGAGAGAGGAGGAGAGAAGAGGGGGUGCGGAGAGGCUGCAGACAAAACCCAGAGUGGAGCUGCAGAUCUGAGUGGAGGUGGACUGACUGGAGAUGUAUCACCAGAAGUGAAUGGCAGCUUCUUAUUGUCAAUCAGCUUCCACAGACCAUUUUUGCUGUCAUGUCUUUCAGAUGGCUGAAGUCUACUCCAACAGGGACACUGUCAGUUGGCUGUGUGUGUAAGAAUGAGGCGUCCCUGCUUCUCUUCAGCAUGUGUGGAAGCAGGGGUGGACUGAAAUGAUAACACAGGCUGUGACUCGCUUCACACCCACCACCAGACGACACAUUUCUUCUGCUAACCUUGGUUAAGCUGGUAAUUUUUACAUUUUUACAUUCACCAGUGGUAAUAAAGUCACGAUUGAUAUGAACUAAACGCGGGUGACUGUGUCAUUUUUUCCAAAAAUUCCUGCCACAGCCCCAAAGUCAAGACUCAGAAACUCCAGAGUUUGUGUGUGUGUUGAUGUAAACAUAGCAACAUAGAUGCAGUAUAGAACCCCAAAUUAGUGUGUAAUUAGUGUUAUUAGUGUGAAAGUAGCCUCAGACCACCUCCAGGUGGAAAGAAGACAGUUGAUCAGUUCGAUCCCAGUCUGUCCCAUUCCACAUGCAUAGUGUCCUCGGGAUAAAUACUGAGCCCAGGUUGACCCUGUGCCGGCAGUGUGUGAGUGAUGUAUGAUAGAUAAAGUGCUGCACAUAGAAGCCCUGUAUGAAUAUGUGUUUGAAUGGGUGAAUGGCAAAACUGUACUGUAAAGAGAUUUGAGUAAUCAAGACUAGAAAAGCGCUAUAAAAAACGAUUAACAAGUAAAUAUAAAUGAUUUUCUAUUACUGUACAAUCCAUUGUCUCUGUUCAGAAUGUGUGCAUUGCUGCAGGUUGACAGAGGAACACACCUGGUGACCAGAGGAACUGUUUUGUUUCCCAAUGCACAGUUCUGUGAACUUCUUGCUGAAUUUAACUGCUGUCCUUGUGUCCUUGUGGGUUUGUAUUAGCCUGGAUGCCAGACGAACUUAGCCCCGCCCACAACAUUUUUGGUUUCAGAUUCAGAUUUUUUUGUUUUUGUUUUUCUCCCUGUGCAGUGGUGUUCGUGCACUGUCUUCACUGUACUCACAAGGGAGAUGAAGUGUUCCUGGUGUAGCCCGGCUAGAAAAAGCAAGAUUUUGAGUUUCAUCAGUUUUUCAACAACAGAAUUGUCCUCACUCAUUUCAGUUUUCUCCAGGUUACUAAUAAAUAGCGACAUGCUUUGCUUUGGAGCAUUAUUCUGCUGAAAGGAACCUUUAGAAGUGUGACAUGAAACCAUUCCCCACAUCAUCACAC